rnacentral:sRNA from 1 species
GCCAGGCGUGGUGGCGGGCGCCUGUAGUCCCAGCUACGUGGGAGGCUGAGGCAGGAGAAUCGCUUGAACCCAGGAGGUGGAGGUUGCAGUGAGCCGAGAUCGCACCACUACACUCCAGCCUGGGUGACAGAGUGAGACUCUGUCUCAA